GGUCGCAUGAAAUUUCGUAUUAUACCUUUACAUUACAUUAUAUUGUAUAUACGUACUUAUACAUAUAGUGGGCGUUUCUUUACGUUAUAUUAUUUGUAACGUGACAAGUUGACCUCGAACGGUUAGCAAAAAAAUAAAAUGAUAAUGAUAUGUUUUAAAGUGCUACAUUUUUAUGUCGUAUAUACCUACUUGACGCCGAUCGUGACUUUUUCUGAAAAAAAAAUCGAU